AGGCAGAAAACAUCUGCAGAGGAGCCGUGGGUGUGUGGUGACGUUAGGUGGCGGACGAGAAUCUGAGCUGGCUUGAGAGCCCUUCAGAGGCGAGAGAGAAUGCCCUGCUGGACUCAGAGGAUGUCAUCCAGGUGAAAAGGGAGUGCUGGUAAGAAUUGCCCUGGAGUUCAUCCUUGUGGGGGAUCGGGAUCCAGGAUUGGAGAGCUUCCGCACCACGCAAGGCAGAGGGCUUGCCGGCCAGUGGAGGCAAGCUUGUCCAACCCGCACUGCUACACGAGAGUUUGCUGUCUAGCUGGUGAUGUGGCUCAUUGGACAGAGUGCUUACCUAGUGUUUGAGAAGCUUCCGGUGCAACCCGCGGUUCCACAGUCAUAGGGUGUGGUGGUGCACGCUUAUAAUCCUAGCACUCGAGGGGGAUGUCAGAAGUCGUCCUCAAGCCCAUAGCAUGUUCGAGGCCACCCUAGGCCACAUCUGCCUCAAACAGCUCCAUAGAUGCCAUUCUCUCAAAGUGUCACAGCCCCCGACUCAUGGCUUCUGAAACUACUCUUUGCUUCCUGGAGGCAUGGACUUGGGUGCUCUUGAAGUUGUACUGUGUUUAACCCAGGCAUGGCCUGUACUCCUGCAUGCCUUAGCUCAUGAGCAGGUGCUUCCCUACAGAGCGGGAUGCCAGCUCCUUUCAUUUUCUUGAUAAAUGGUUACUCCUGGAGACUUUCAUCAAACAAACUCCUAUGUGCAGUUUGAGCAAGAGUGGGACACUUUGAUGGGCCAGCCAGCUUUCCUUUCUCCCUCGACUCCAGCAUGGUUUUCUUCUCUCUAGAAACCUAGGAUGGCCUGGGAAGCCACAAACCUUGAUCAUGAGAGCCUGUGGAGGCUAAGUGCCUUCUGCUCUCCUGGAAGGGUCAGAUUCCCUCCAUGAGUCUCCAUUUGUAUUGUAGAUAAGAGGUGAGGCCACAGAAAGGAGUAUAUCCAGCCAAAUUCUGGGGUUCUGCUGUGUCAUUCUUCCAAGUCCAGACUUACAACCAACCCCACAUCCCAAAUGUUCUGGAACCGUAGGAACAGCUUCAUUGGGUCACCCUCGGCGGGCAGGAGAGCUCAAGAAGGAGUGAGAUCUGGGCAGAGCGUCCAUUUUCUACUCUACCUGACCACGAACGUCAUACUUUUAUACCGGCUUGAAGCAAACAAAAACUUUAAAUGUUAUAACUCACCCAGCUGAUUUUACUUGCACCUUCUUGGCGAAGCUAUGGGUGGUUUGAAGAAAGACACCCCAGUGCUCGCCGCAGGUGCCACUGCAAUGGGCAAAUGUGUCCUGGAGAGCUGGGAAAGAUGGAGUGCGCAGCGGAGAAAUGGGAGCUAAGUGAAGCUGGGGGUUUUGUACACCGUGGAGAAAGGCAGAACUGAAGACUUGAUGGUGGCGAGGAACAGGUGGAUAUGACGAGCCUGUGCAGUCACCUGAGGCCAUGGUAAGAUCCCGGCCUGGGCUUCUGCCAAGGGCUAUGUCUGAAUCUGGGUCCUGCUGCAUCUGGGGUCUGUGUUAAUCUCUGUGGUCUCAGUUACCAACAAAGGACAUGGGUUUGUCCGUGGUCUGGGCUGCCACAGGAGACCAUGUGGAUAUCUGAGGGCCAUGGUAUUGCAAGGCGCUUGCUGAUCUGAGUGGCCUGCACUGCCACCUGAAGCCAAGGUGACAUCCAGGCCCAUGCUGCGGUCAGGGGCCAUGUCUGAGUCGGUGGUCCUAUCAAAGCCAGGGUUUGUGUUGAUGUCACAGGCCCAUGUUACCACCAAGGGCCAUGUUACCACCUGGUCUGAACUGUUGCCUCGGACACUGUGCUGAGCUGGCCCUGACCCUUGUCUGGGCAGCACAAUAAAGCUGACCCUGGUGGUGGGGGUGCAGGUGAGCUGGCUGAGGGCUAGAGCGUGGGGGAGCUGGCCCUUCCCCUUGCCCUUGCCAGCUGUGGCACUGAGUGAGCUACCCAGGGCAGUGCUAGAGAGCUCAUCCUGGUGGUGAGGGUGCAGGAGAGCUGGCAAGCUGACCAACUCACUACCCAGAUCCAGGGCUUUGAGUUGGCCUACUCCAAAAUCCACCGCAUCUAUGAACUGCUGGAGCAUGUGAACGGGCCCGGAAGGACCGGCCCUGUAGAUCUAAAGCUGCAGGAUCUCCAUGACACAGGACAACAAUAGGAUAUUUGAGAGGAGUCCCAGCGAGGAUCCAGUAUUGACAGUGUAGCAGAAGCCUUGAACCGGACCAACGACUCGUUACAAUGAACCUUUGCGAGUAAAGAUGUGUGGACCAAAGGGUAUACUGCGUGACACAUUACGGCUUCCACAACAAAAUGUUUGCCUUAAAAACAAUUCUAUCUUAUUUUAUUUUUAGUUUUGGAGGGGCACAUGGUGGAUGGUGAAGGGAUGGGGAGAUGAGUGGGAUUGGAGUGCGAAGUAGAAUCGACACAAAGUUUAGAAAGAAUUGUGCCCUUCGCAGCCGUAACUGACUUUUGACAGCUUCUGAGCAGUAGUAUUUUGCCUCCGGGAAGCAGUGCCUUGCCACACUCUACCUUCCCUGACACAAGUGACCGGAAAUUGACAUCAUUCCUCCUGGGAAGGCACUUCCUACUCCGAACUUCUCCACGCCAUCAGAAUGGUUGUAUUAUUCUGAUUGUAAAAUUUUACUUGGCUUAGUUUGAGACUGUCUCGUGUAGCCCAGACUGGUCCUGAACUUCUGAUCCUCCUGCCCCACCCCACCCCACCCCUAUUCCAGUGCUGUGAUUACAGGCAUGUCCUACCAUGCAUGGCUAGAAUGGUUAUUUUUAAACUGCUAUUUUUUUAAAGCAUAUAUCCAGUUUUGUUGCACCUACUUAUAACACGAAUUUAAAACAGUUUGUGAUCAAAUGGCAUUUUUUAAUUUGUCUUGAUUCAUGUGAGAGUAAUUUAAAUUCACAUUAGUAUUCUGGAAACUGAUCAUUAACACUUUUUAACUGAUUUUGUAAACACAUUUUGCUUCCAAAAUAAACAUAAACAGAAAAGGGGAGGGCUCAGCACAGCUGAAGCAUGAAGACACACACCCAUUGAUGGGGAAGGGCAGGAUCCUUAAGUAUAAAGCGCAAAGCCAUUCGAGAGUCAUUUCAUCAGCCAUUCCCCUCGUGAAAAAUCUGCAGGAAAAAUGUGAAUAAUUUCCGAUUUGCCUGGUGGGGAAUUUCAAGCUGCAGGGUUGUAUGUGCCUAUCACGGCUCAUUUCAAAUCAUUAAGACUGGUUGGGAGGUGCAGACUAACUAAUGUUUCCUAAAGCAGCUGCGACGACUUGCCGCAAGAUGAGCGAGCUGGCUGGGCCAUCUCCUUCCUAGGCUUCGGUGGAGACUCGGAGAUCUGCAGUCUCCCAAAUGUUUUGAAAGUCAGCUCUCCUGUUGUGAUCUCCUCACCUCCGUCUCCAUGGGGGUAUGCUAAGCCUUCACCCAGACAUCAUGAGGGCUCUCAGUUCACCUGUCCAUAAUGUUCCCUGGCUGUGCCCUCGUGCAUCAUUUAAACAUAGACUUUGCAGAAGAGUAAAACAUAGCU